rnacentral:rRNA from 1 species
CUUGUUCUGGAAUAUCGGGGCCUUAACACCCCGGCGCGGAGAGGAGUGGCUAGGAGAUUACUCAGCCAGUUCAAUGUAUCAGUCGUAUGCUUUCAAGAGUCAAAGUUGAGUGUUGUGGACCAGGAUCUGAUCAAGCAAUGUUGUGGAGCAGCGUUUGAUUCCUUUGUCUUCCAACCGGCCGCGGGAACCAGGGGAGGCAUUAUCUUUGCUUGGAAAGGAGCAGAGAUUCAGAUAACCUAUAGUCACUGCACCGCUAGUUGGAUUGAGUUGCGCUGCUUACACCGCCGGUCUGGUAAAUGUUGGAGGAUGUUUGGUGUAUAUGGCCCCCAAAGAGAUGAUGAGAAGAUUGCCCUUCUGGCUGACCUUGAAGCCGCCAUGGCCGGCACUGCCAUGCCCACUAUUUGUGCUGGAGAUUUUAACAUGAUCAGUGCAGCAUCUGAUAAGUCUAAUAACAGAAUUAAUCGCCGCAUGCUUAACGCCUUUCGCCGUUUCAUCAGUGACAUGGCACUCAAAGAUAUGUACCUACACGGAAGCAGUGGCGAAUCUAGAAAAAAAUGGAGGGCGGGCUGGGCUGCCUGGGUCAUGCAAAUAUGUGUUGGAUUGGGCCUGCAAGUAGUUGGGCUGGGCCUUAAAACUAGUAGUAGAAACAAAUUUUACAGUGCUGGAGGGGGGGCUUGA